GCAACUCGAGUGCAUGAAGCUGGAAUCGCUAGUAAUCGCGGAUCAGAAUGCCGCGGUGAAUACGUUCCCGGGUCUUGUACACACCGCCCGUCACACCAUGGGAGUCGAUAACGCCCGAAGUCAGUGACCCAACCUUAUAGGAGGGCGCGGCCGAAGGUGGGUUCGAUAAUUGGGGUGAAGUCGUAACAAGGUACC
rnacentral:rRNA from 1 species